AUGAGACAUGAACCUGUACCCUCUGUGUGCAGUGCUACAGCAAUUCAGCAUGUCUUUGUGCUGGAAAAAGUCUUCUUCCUAAUCACAGUUUGCCUUGAUCUGCCCCAGAGCAAGGAAAUGUUUAAGAAGUCCGGAAUGAAUGAGCACAACAACAGAAGCAACUGGAAAGCUGUAGGCCCUAGAAGCAAGCUCGUCAGUAACCUGGUUAAUACAGGAUUCUAUAAACCACUGACUUCAAACUCUUAUGCUUGUGUAUUGCUGUUUCCUGCGAUUUUUUUCUAUUUUCUUUUGGGGAAAAAAUAUGCUGGAUCAGGUAUUGUUAAGAAGCCCAGAGCCAUCUCUUCUUCACUUCAGCAGCAGGAGCUCUGUGCCUUUGAAGCACAAGGAUUUAAGUUCCGUCCUCCCACCUCUGCAGUUUCUUUGCAGACCAAGGCAGUGUUGCAAUGUACUCCAUUAGGCCUCAUGCUAUCCUUCACGCUUCACCAGUGGCUGAUGCACUAAACGUCCUUUACCCUCCUCCGUGCUGUUCCUCAAGCAUCCUCACAGCUGAGACUGGGUCAGGGCUUUGCCACACUGUCUGGCUCCAUCCUGGCACGUUCUGAGGCAGCAGCACUGUGCAACCAAGGAGGUCUGCCUGCUGCUGAGAGACAGCAAGAAAUCAUCUAUGACCUAAUGGUGAUGCCUGUCCUUAUUUCUGAUAGUUUGCCAUUAAUUCUGAGUAAACAGCAGGUGUCUGGAGGCAUGAGGUUUGUUGGGAAACUUGUAUAUUUUGUUUAAUGCUGUGGAUUAAUCUCUGUGGUCUUAGUAACUCUUCAGACCUGUUACAUUGCAUUAUUAUUAUUGCAAUGCAUGUGUUGCAUUGUAUUUAAUGGGUAUUCACUUAACUUUUUUGAAGAGCACUUGGUUCAUUGCAAAUCUUACUGUACCAGGUGCCUUGCAAGAACAAAAUCCUCAAGCAGUGUCAGCAAACUGAACUGACUUUGUGCAAAUUUCAUGUUAUCUAGCCUUUGUGUUUGUAGAAAAUAACUAAACCACAGUUUUCAUUCAUUGGAGGGGAAAUGAGUUUUUGUUAAGCGUGUGUAAGGUUGGAGCUGGGUCACCCUGAGAAACAAAGCAAAACCAGAUGGUAAGGAGUCAGCUUGAUUUCAGGAACAGUGGGUGGGCAUGAGGAGUGCCACUGGCUUCCAUGGGAUGUGCUGCAGCAGUCACCAUGCAAAUCUCAAGGUAUGGGAAAAUGCGUGGUUUUGGUUUUUAAGCAAAAUCACAUUUCUGUGGAUUACCUGUGACAUCUGUAGGGAAGAUAUCACAGAAGAGAAAGCUUAUAAAUGACUGUAAAGCAAAUGCCAUCCUCAGACUGAUGUAAGACCACACACCUGUGCCAGCUGCAAUACACACAAUCUUGUUUUCUGAUGAAUUCUGCCACAAAGAACCCAAAGCUUUGGGCUUUUAUCCCAAAUGAAAACUACAGCUUGUAGCAAGCAAGCACUCCUAGCACAGGGCU
rnacentral:lncRNA from 1 species